rnacentral:rRNA from 1 species
CAGCAGCCGCGGUAAUACGGAGGGAGCUAGCGUUGUUCGGAAUUACUGGGCGUAAAGCGCACGUAGGCGGUUAUUCAAGUCAGAGGUGAAAGCCCGGGGCUCAACCCCGGAACUGCCUUUGAAACUAGAUGACUGGAAUCUUGGAGAGGCGAGUGGAAUUCCGAGUGUAGAGGUGAAAUUCGUAGAUAUUCGGAAGAACACCAGUGGCGAAGGCGACUCGCUGGACAAGUAUUGACGCUGAGGUGCGAAAGCGUGGGGAGCAAACAGGAUUAGAUACCCCCGUAGUCCCUGUCUCUUAUAC